GAGAGGAAGAACGUCGGAGAAGGAAUAAGUGAAGUAUCUUAGGAAGAAGGAACUCACAACCAGGUGGUGAUCUGCAACUGAAAUCUCAAAGGAAGAGGACCAAUUGCACUGACGGGGGCUGAGAAGAAGCUCCUCUAGGAUGUGAUGUUUUGACCUCGUGAUCAGGGAUUGUCCAGAGCCCCCUUGAGGCAAGGAAACCGGAGACAGGCCCAGAGGGGGCGCAAGACGGAUUACAGGAUGAGCUUUAAAUCAGGCCUGGCAGGACACUGCGUGUAAUGGAUUCCUGUUGGCGGGAGCAGCAUUCGUGGCCCCUGUGGGUCCAGGCAGCACCCAGAGCGAUGUCACUCUGGAUCAACGACAGGUGGCAGCAAAGGACC
rnacentral:lncRNA from 1 species